rnacentral:pre_miRNA from 1 species
UAAGAUGACCAACUGUCCUGGUUUGCCAGGGACUGUCCCAGUUUUAGCACUGGAAAAUCUGUCAGUUCUAGGCAAACUAGAAUAGUUGGCCACUCUGUGUCAAG